GAAAAAAACGCUUAUCGUCAGCAGUUACAAAAUAAAAUCAAAAGACAUAAAGCGAAAAAUGAAUCUGAAUUAUAGGAUUUUAAUUGAUCAACCGAUGAUCUUAGUUUCAAACUUUUGCCCAUGAUUGAUUCUAAGUUAGGAAAUGAAUUUCACUCAUCAAUGUUUUUAGGUGUUUCUCUUUUCAACGAAAUAAAUCUCGCAAAUUCGAAGUUGAAACCAAGGUAACUCAUUAUCUCAGAAAUUUCCAGUUUUGAUUCAUUGUUCGGCCUCGCUGGAUUCAUGGUGCAUGUAACACACAUAUUUCAGUCAUUUAUGCAGGUAUUUUCGGGUUAUGAAAAUUUCCCACUGUUUUGUGUUGAUUCCGGUUUUGAUAAACUCAGGUUCUCAUAACAUACAUUGAAACUCUCCAAAUUUAAGACAGUUUACAUAUCAAUAUUGAAGAAUCCACGGAUAAAACAUAUAACUCCUAUAGGAUUACAUAAUCAUGUACCAAAAUAACUACAUUUGAAGGUUAGCAAGUGGUGGUGCAUGAACUUGGAGUAUCGUCAAUGGAUGAAUAUUUUAUUAAACUUUUGUUUAGAAGAUUUGCGAACAUCCAUUAAAAUCUACCAGAAUUUCUAUGGUAUUCAGUUUUUUACCGUUUGUUAUGUCUUACUUUCAAACAGCCCUAUGGCAACAAACUUUUUGUUGUGCAAUUAAUGUAACGGUUUGGUUCGAAUUGUAUUGUUUGUGAUACGUACUUCACUUAUUUUCAGAAUUAUUAAUUUCAUAAAGAACAUCAUAUCGGUGUUUAGUAUAUAACCUUUUAUACUCUACCAUAAUUAUAGCAAGAAUGUUAUUUAGCUACUUUCGCAUUUAUAGAUUUUGGGUCUGAUUUCAUUCUUUGUUGUCAGUGAUGUAGUAAUUUAUAAUGGCAUCUCAACUUUCGAAGAAUAAGGUCCCCAGUUGUUGGUGUAGGUAAUUUGAAUUUUGCAUUUUUGUCUUUCUUUUUGUCCCAAGUGGUUUUGCAUACUUAUUUCAAGUGAUGGCCUUUUGAGUUUCAUUUUUGCGAUGGAUAAGAUGACAUUUGCGUUUGUUGAUUUAAGCUUUUGUGAGUAACUUACUUUUGCCAGUGUUGCUCCGGAUAACACGGGGGACUAUCGAUGUUAACAUUCAAUUAUGUCCAACGUAGAUGAAUGAAUUUUCUUGGAAAUCAAGAGAAAAUAUUAUUCCAGCCACCGGUUUGAUUUCUACUUCUCCACCAUUUUUCCCCUACAAAUUUUGCACAUGUCGUUUCUUUUCAAGUGGCCAAAAAGUCUAGAAAAUCCUAACCACUUCAAAUAACACUUCCUAGCAUACAAAGCAAAGUUUCCCUUGACAUUUUGUGUUUUAAGAACAAUUAAACCAUCAUCGAACUUAAAAGAUAAAUGGGAUUCAUCCUACAACAUAAUUUUCUGACCGAGUAUAGUUUUUGCAUGAUUUUGUAUUCCAUGUAUGUCUUCCCUUACUGAUUACCAAGAUUCUGCUCACAUGAAUGCAAGAUAUUAACAAAACUAUGUGCAUGCCAGAAAAAUGUUGGCUUACGGUGGCUGGGAACGUUUGGCUUGCAACAGAUGCAGUAGGAAAGUUUUUGGUGAUGAAGAUGACCACUGUAUACAAAGUCCGAAGCCAAAAUUAAGUAAACCAAAGUCGGAGUUUGGAACUAUUGACUGACAGUGGGUGGAAUAUUUUCCUACAGUUUUUUUGGUGUUCGUUCUCCAACCUGAUCAGCUAAAAAUAUUACACUGGUGUAAAUUUUAGUAGUGGGCUUCAUAAUCUAUGUUAUUUCACUUCUUU